rnacentral:lncRNA from 1 species
UUCUUUCUAAUGUCUUCUUGUCUGUCUCUUCCCAAAUUUUUUGCAACUUCUUACUUUCUCCAUAUUUUGAUUAUUCUACCUAGCUGAGUCAAUUCCUCAGGACCAAACUUGUAAUAAUUUCAUGGUUCGAUAGAGAUCAUCCUAGACCUAGAAUUGCUGCAUUGUAACAGACAUUGUGAGAUUGCUACUGUGUUAGUUCAUGCGAGCCUACCAUUAAAACACAAUGAGCCUGUGAAAUUCAUGGCUCCUCCAACACUUGCAUUCAUGUGUGCGCUGUAAGUUGUUUGCUCUCUCUUGUCAAACGUGGACUACAGCUAGGUAUUUACUAUGUUUAAG